GUAACGGCGAGUGAACGGGGAUUAGCCCAGCAUCGAAGCCUAUGGUCGCUUGACUGUAAGGCAAUGUGAUGUUAUGGGUCCUGCCUAGGGUCACUGGUCAACUCGAAGUCCAAUAUUGAAUGUGGCUUUUGUAUUUGGCCCAUAGCGGGUGAUAGGCCCGUGCGAGUUGAUCUUAAGUUAUGUUGUAGUGACCUCUAGAUGCAGUGACCUUUGGAGUCGGAUUGCUUGAGAAUGCAGUCCAAAGUUGGUGGUAAACUCCAUCAAAGGCUAAAUACUGGCACGAGUCCGAUAGCAAACAAGUACCGUGAGGGAAAGUUGAAAAGUACUCUGAAGAGAGAGUAAAUAGUACGUGAAACCACAUGAAGGUAAGCGGGUGGAGUCCAGCUGCUUGCCUUGAAGAUUUAGCCAGCCUGUGUACAAUGGGUGUUGUGGACUGCCAUGUAUGGUUCGACUCGCAAGGUCGAAUUGGGCUUUAUGCUCAAUCCAUGUGCUGUGUUGUACACAGUAUGGGCCGCGCAUGACAUGGUGGGAAUGUCCGCAGGUUGGUGUCAUUCUUCAUGUGCUAACAUCACAGUCAAUAUUGCUGCUAGUAUGUGAUGUGUCAAACCGCCAAGUGGUGGGCCUCGAAGUCCACCCUUGUCGGGACGGCAGGUGGUGUGCGUGUGUUUGCCUCGUGCUUGCGCAUGUACGCUUAAACAAUGGCUACGGCCAGCCGACCAUCACGUUGUAUACAUUGUCUACAUUUAACUAUGCAGUGUAUUGGUCAUAGUUUGUGCAAUUGCGCGAUUAAUUGCUCAUGUUACCAGGUCUGGCGCGUGAUGGGUUAUGUGUAAAAGCGUGCCCUUUGUGCUGUCGGUCUGUGUGCGUGGUCAAUGAGUUCGUACU
rnacentral:rRNA from 1 species